AUAAUUUACAUAAUUAAAAAAAAAAAAAACCGGCAAAGAAAGAAACUCUCUCCCUCAGUCCCUCUGUCUUUCUCGACUCUCUCCAUCCCAACGCCGACCUCUUCUCAACUCUCUCCCUCUUCUCUCUCGGCAGCGGUCUUCCCACGGCAGAGGCUGCACAGGCACCACGGCAGCAGCAGAGCCAGAGAAUUCUUCUGCUCUUCUUCUUUGUCUCCGGUUCUCCUUGAAGCCAGCUCCAGUCGAGAAUUUCGACAAGCUCCGAUCGUGGACUCCAACAAAUAUUGACUCUUGAGUAGUGUAAUUCAUGUUCAUGGUUCUCAAACGUUGCCGCUCUAUCCUACUAACCCCUCUUCUCUUUGGACCAAAUCCUAAUUCCAAACCUUUUCAAUUUCACUACUUGCAGGUCUUCUUCUCCGAUCAGUCAUGGCUGUCCAUACCUGGCAAGCCCCUGAUCAAGUGGCCUCACGACAUCCUCACUCCACCAGCCACACAACUAGCCCCGGUUCCUGACUUAGGCACUAAAGUUUCUCAGAAUGAGUUCCUCGCGGUUUCUGAGCUCCUCACCAACCCUGACAUUUCCUCUGGUCCUUCCCUCCAUGAUGCCUUGGACAGGACAGGAAUCAAGCUCGAUUCAAGUUUGUUACAAACUGUGGUCGACCACUUUGAUUCUUCCCCCAAGUUAUUGUACUCGCUCUUUCUUUGGGCAGAGAAGCAAACCACAUUUCAAUCAUCUGCUGCGCUCUUUAACUCCAUGGUCAAUGUGCUUGCGAAAUCAAGGGAGUUUGACUCAGCGUGGUCUUUGAUUCAGGAUCAAAUUGACAAAGAGGAUGAACCCGCUUUGGUUUCUGUGGAUACGUUUGUGAUCAUGAUCAGACGAUAUGGUCGUGCAGGUAUGCCCGAAUCUGCAGUUCGAACUUUUGAAUUUGCGAGUACUUUGACUACAGUUGUUAGUUUGGGUUCAGAAAUGAGUUUGUUUGAGAUUUUGUUGGAUUCUCUUUGCAAGGAAGGGCAUGUUAGAGAUGCUUCAGCUUAUUUUGAUAGGAAAAAGAAGUCAGACUCGAAUUGGAUUCCGUCGAUUCGAGUUUACAACAUCCUGUUGAAUGGUUGGUUUCGAAUGAGGAAGCUCAAACACGCAGAGCGACUCUGGAUGGAGAUGAAAAAGGAGAAUGUGAAGCCUACUGUUGUGACAUAUGGUACUCUUGUGGAAGGUUAUUGUCGGAUGCGUCGGUCUGAAAGGGCAAUUGAACUAGUUAGUGAGAUGAAAACAGAAGGAAUUAAGCCGAAUGCUAUUGUGUAUAACCCAAUAAUUGACGCGUUGGGGGAAGCCGGGAUGUUCAAGGAGGCAUUGGGCAUGAUGGAGCGCUUUUUGGUUCUGGAAUCAGGACCCACUAUCUCAACAUACAAUUCUCUGGUGAAGGGUUUUUGCAAGGCAGGAAAUCUUGUUGGGGCAAGUAAGAUUCUUAAGAUGAUGAUAGGUCGGGGAUUCGUCCCAACACCAACAACUUAUAACUAUUUCUUUAAGUACUUUUCAAAGUUGGGAAAAAUUGAGGAAGCAAUGAACUUGUAUACUAAGAUGAUUGAAUCUGGAUAUUCUCCUGAUCGACUCACAUACCAUCUGUUGUUAAAGAUGUUGUGUGAGGAUGGGAAACUUGAGUUGGCAGUUCAAGUUAUUGAAGAAAUGAGAUCCAGGGGAUGUGAUAUGGACUUAGCUACAAGCACAAUGUUAAUCCAUCUGUUUUGUGAUAUGCGAAAAUUCGAAGAGGCGAGUUUGGAAUUUGGAAAUAUGAUCAGAAGGGGCAUAGUUCCUCAGUAUCUUACUUUCCAGAGACUAAAUGAUGAACUAAAGAAACAAGGAAUGACUGAGAUGGCACGGAAAGUAUGUGGCCUGAUGUCUUCUGUUCCCCACUCUACGAAGUUGCCAGAUACUUAUAAAAGAGAUGGAGACGCAUCUCGUGCGCGGAGAUCCUCUAUUCUUCGAAAAGCUGAAGCAAUGUCGGCUAUAUUGAAAACUUGCAAGGAUCCAAGAGAAUUAGUUAAAUAUCGAGGUUCGUCUAGAAAUGUUGUUGCAACAGCGAACCCGUUGAUAGAGAACAUUAAGAAGAAAGUAUAGCAACUCGCUCUCUUCUCUACCGCCUUCGGGAGACGAAAAGGGAAAGGCUGCGAGAGUAACUGGACAAGUUUGAGAAUCAUUUCUUUGUAUAAUAAUAAUCAAGGAUGAAGCUCUCUCCUCGGGGAACUUGAAAUUGGAAACUAAUCAACACCAGCUUACACAAGAAAUUCCAUUGUCAUCAAGAAUGACAAGACCAACUGUCAUUGCUGCUGUGCUAAACGCUCCGAAAGCUUGUGGUUGCACUAGACUUCCUUGUAUGUAAGAUGAUGCAAGUUCUGUCCCUCCACAGCAUUCCAUGAUGGGUUGGUAAUAAGCUUGUGAAGAGAGCCAAAGGUCAUCAUCAACAUUAGAAGCUUCCCCGGUGGAAGCAAACACCCUGUACAUAUUAUACAUCGGUUCAUACUUCCAUGUCAAGCAAGCAAAGUUACCAUAAAAGAGUUUGAAUUGUAAGAUUUUUCUUACUUUAUCUUUGUCCAAUCCAGGCCUUUCAUACACUGUGUGCUUUUCCAAACUUUAACAAGGCUUGGAACUGUGCCUAAAAUAGUCACACCUGAAUCCUGGACAUGCAUCAAGUAGAAGUUCUAGUGAAAGUGUUUAAGUAAGAAUAAACCAAGUCACUGAUGGAAACUAUUGCAGCAGUUGUUACCUGAACAAAUUUUCCAAAACCAUGGCCUAGAGGAGAACCAUGAUAAAGAGCAAGAGUUGCACCAGUUAGAAAUGAAGAGAAUAGUAAAGCUGGACCCAUCGCCCAUCCCAAAUUGGUGGGCCAGCAGAAAAUAUCUCCAACUUGAGCAUCAAUAUGAGCCCAUGUAUCAGCUGCACAACGAAGCGGAGAAAGUUGUGUCCAUGGAAUGGCUUUCGGUUCUCCUAAGGAAUAUGGGAAGAUAAAGAAACUGAGGUUAAAGAGGCUCAAACAUACUAUACACUAACUAUUAGUAUCGACAAAUGUUUUACCUGUGGUUCCAGAAGAGAAUAGUAUAUUUAUCAGAGAGUCUACAGGCUGAUAAAAUGGAGUGUAAUGGUUUGAUCUGCCACAAAAGAAGAGAUUAGUCUGGAAAAGUUCAAAAGGCUGUCCUAAAUAUGUCAAGGAGGACAAUAGCCUUAUGCGGUGCAGCAUCGACAACUCGACUGCACGAAGGAAUAACAGGACUAUCAUCCCUUUUCAUUGGAUAUGAAGUGGGCAACAAGCAACAUUCAGCAAUGUUCAAAACCGAACCGGGCAGCCAUGAUCCGCUGCACUUUGACUUGUCUGCACUGUCUAGAAUACACUUUGGAGCUUCUUGGAAUGAAACUGAAAGCUCUUUCAGAACAAUUGACCAGUAUGCCUGAUAUGCACCAUGUCAAAAAGAUUAACACUGAGAAAUGAAUUUUUGAAUCGUUAAGGGAAAGAAAGGAAUCUGAGGCUAAAGAGAACACUAAGCUGGAAAUGCUGCUGAAUUGCUGGAGAACAAAAUGCUAUAGCAUUUCUGGGUACUGGGAAAUGACGUGGACAAAAUACCAGCAGGCUUUUCUUCAUCUAACUCAGCGCUUAUGUGGCAGUUACUUAAAAGUUACAUCAGCUGGCUGAUGUGGAUUGGACUAGUGGACCAAAGAGAAGAAAGUGGGCUUUCUAAUUAGGGUAAAAUGAAAAUUGUACCCUAGAGAGGAGGCAACUAAGUACCAGCCACCAUCACAUUGAAUACACACAAAAGGGGGCUGCCAUCGUUGGAGAAAAGUUGCAGAAAAAAAAGAGCAUGAAGAAGAAGAAGAAAAAGAAGGAAACACAAGGAAUUGAAUGAGGAAGAUAAGGACAAGAAGAUCCAACCUACAACAUCAUCAAUCUAGGCUUUGUUCUCAUUUCUUCCUUUCUUCUCUAUUUUGUAUUUUCUUAUUUUGCAUAGCUAUUCUAGCACUCAUGGAUAUUAAUUUUCUAUUUUGGUUUAUGUUUGCUACUUUAGUUAUGAGCUAAACUUUUGAGACUUGAAUAGUUAAAAACCUAUUUUUCAUGUAUUUCAAGUUUGAAUGCAUUACUUAAGCUAAAUUGCCAUUGUUCAUUCAA